CCUGGGUACAUGCCUCAUCUUGUGUUGCUUUAUGUAUGAUGUCAUGAAAUACAACAAAUCCACAUUCCUGCUGCUAUGCACAAAGGUUUAAUCACUAAAUAAUGUAUUUUAGUGAACUGAAUAUAGAGUUGGAAACUUUGGGCAAAAUAAGCCAAUAGCUUAUUUGGAAAUAUGAAACUCUGCUGCAAAGGCAGCAGACAAAAGAACUGCAGUUUUUUUU